rnacentral:rRNA from 1 species
UACGUAGGGGGCUAGCGUUGUCCGGAUUUAUUGGGCGUAAAGAGCGUGUAGGCGGCUUGGCAAGUCUGCUGUGAAAACUCGAGGCUCAACCUCGAGCUGUCGGUGGAAACUGCUUGGCUAGAGUCCGGAAGAGGAGAGUGGAAUUCCUGGUGUAGCGGUGAAAUGCGCAGAUAUCAGGAAGAACACCUAUGGCGAAGGCAGCUCUCUGGGACGGUACUGACGCUGAGACUCGAAAGCGUGGGGAGCGAACAGG